rnacentral:rRNA from 1 species
UACGUAGGGUGCAAGCGUUGUCCGGAAUUAUUGGGCGUAAAGAGCUCGUAGGCGGUUUGUUGCGUCGGCUGUGAAAUCCCGAGGCUCAACCUCGGGUCUGCAGUCGAUACGAGCAAACUAGAGUGUUGCAGGGGAGACUGGAAUUCCUGGUGUAGCGGUGAAAUGCGCAGAUAUCAGGAGGAACACCGGUGGCGAAGGCGGGGUCUCUGGGGCAA